rnacentral:tRNA from 1 species
UCGAAAUCGGUAGACGCUACGGACUUAAAAU